rnacentral:lncRNA from 1 species
CCUCCGGCCUCGCCGUCUUGCUUCUCCUGGUCCAAGGGUCGCCGCCAGGGCCCGUUGUUCAGUGCCGGUCCGGCAACACUAACUGCACCGUGACCAACGGCUAUGGAGCCUUUCCGGAUCGCAGCACCUGCCGCGUCGCCGCGGUCGCGUACCCUUCGACCGAAGAGGAGCUGCGGUUAGUUGUCUCCGACGCGACCGAGAAGCAGCAGCACAUGAAGGUGGUCACAAUGUACUCCCACAGCAUUCCCAAGCUGUCGUGCCCCGGCGGGCCGAGCGGCCAGGGCCUGGUCAUUAGCACCCAGCGCCUCGGCAGAUCGGUGAGCGUGGACAUGGCCACAUCGCGGAUGACAUUCGAGGCAGGGAUCACACUUAGGGCGCUCCUUGACGCGGCGGCCGCCCGUGGCCUGGCGCUAUCCCACUCGCCGUACUGGCAAGGGAUGACGCUCGGCGGGCUGCUGAGCACCGGCUCGCAUGGGAGCUCGGCGUUCGGGAAGGGCUCGGCGGUGCACGAAUAUGUGGUAGGGAUGAGGCUGGUAGUUCCAAGUCCGGUCCCGGUGAACGGAUACUACGCCAAGAUCGUUAAUCUUGGUGAGGAUGAUCCUGAUCUCUUGGCUGCCAAGGUUUCUCUCGGUGUUCUUGGAGUCAUUUCUCAGGUAUGUGUGUGGUGACCUACGUGUUGUUCUUUACACGAUUUGAGAUCCAUGUGAUAACUCAUCUUAGUUCUUCAUCGUGGUUCUUCCAACCACGUCAAGUACUUUCAGAAGCUGAGUGUACAUGACUUGCCACGUCUCGAUGCUAAUUAGGUGCAACUAUAUCUUUAAUUCUUCAUGAUAUAGUAGAGAUCAUCCUACUGUUAUUAGCAAGGCUGAAUACUUCCUAUCGUCAGCAAAAUGUCGAGACAGAAAAAAAAAACUUGUUUUCUAUCAAAUCACUUUACAAAGGAAGACUUGUUCUUUUCCUCGAAUCUAGAAAGUUACGUAAAUAAUAGGCUGUUGAUGAUCCCAGUGGACUUUACUUUUAAUCUUUCCUUCUUUUCUUGCUUUGCUUGUCUUCCUUGUUUCAAAAUGGGCUGAUGCAAACCUUUGAUCCGUUCUAAUGAUUCCAUGUACCUUCCCUCGUCGUUUAUCGUAACUACACAACAUAAUUGAGUGUUAUGGAAUAUAACCCACAUAGACAAAGAUCAGAGAAAAAGCAAACUUUGCAAAUAACAGCUACAGUGAUGUUGAUGAUGACUCUGUGUAAACGAGAGUGCCCCUUGUUGAUCUUGAUAGGAAGAAGGGAUAGAGUUAUCAAACAGUGGAAUAGUAAGACAAGCUUCAAUCUUCUAUAUUUUUCUCAAAAAAACUCUUUAUAAUUUCAAAAACUCUAUCUAUUUCAUGACCUAUGGGGUUUAUAUAGUCCCGAAAGAUAUAUUACAUUAAUUGUAUUCAAGAUAAAUAAUUUUUUUUCAAAAAAUUCGUUCAAAAAUCAAUAACCAUUUGGACUUAUUCUUCCAUAGACUUUAAUCUAUUUCUUCGUAAUGAAUCUUCUGCAAUGAAUAUUUCUUUUGAGGAAAUGAAUCUCUUUAUAACAUUUGAAAAAGUUUAAUUCCAGAAGAGACAGGCAGGUCCAUGCUGCCUUGCCUUGCAGAGCUUACGACCGGACCCGAUAAUUGCCUUAAAAGCCUCAGUAACAAUUAUUAGGUUGAAGGACGAUAGGGGAUGUCAGUAGUAGUAGUUCUUGUUUCAAUCUUGUUGCCGGAAUAGCUGAAAAGAGUUGACUUGCAAUACAUGUAAGCUUUUGUUCUGCUGCUUCGUUAUAGGUAACCUAAGAAUUACUUGAACCGAUCGCGCAGGUCACCCUCCAACUUGAGCCAAUGUUCAAGCGAUCCAUCACCAACAGGGUCGUAAGCGACGUUGGCUUCGAGCAAACCAUCUCCUCGUACGCUGUCACUACAUACUAUGGAGACAUCAGCUGGUAUCCGUCACAACGCAGAGUGGUGUACCGAGAUGAUAUCAAGGUCCCCAUCACCACCAAGGGAAAGGGUGUAAACGACUACUUAGGGUUCCGAGCGCAGCCCACACUUGUCGGAGCCUCUCUACGUGCUUCAGGUCUUAUAAAUUGAAGCUUUUAUUUUGCUUGUCAAACUUAAUGUAGUGUUCGAGCAGUAUUAUGCACACAUUUACGUCGACAUUUCGUCCGAGAUUUAUACUGAGAAGGCAUCUUAUGUUCUCUACCAUGUGUUUGUGUCAAUGACUGCAGAGGAACGAGUGGAGGCAACGGGAAAUGCGGAAGGCAAAUGUGUGCUGUUCAGAUUGCAAGUUGAUACUUUGAUUGCGACCGGCAUGGGCUUUAAGAACAAUGACGGCGGCUUGAUAGAAUUCACUGGCUAUCCGGUCAUUGGAAACCAAAGCGACAUGCAAUCCGCCGGUAGGUUCUCAAAUUAUCCGAGGAAUGUCUGCAUGUAUGAAUGAUAGCUCUUGAUGAUAAUGCUUCAUCACAAUAAUGACACAUGUAACGCCCGGAUUUAUUUACUCUGAGUCAUCUUCUUUCCAGGUUCUUGCCUAAGGAGUCCAGAAGACAACCUUCUUACAGCCUGUGGCUGGGACCCUCGUUUUGCGGGGUUCUUCUACCACCAAACCACGAUAAGCAUCCCCUUCACCACCAUCUCUGACUUCAUCGCCGACGUCAAGAAGCUCCGCGACGCCCAUCCCGACGCACUCUGCAGCACCGAGCUGUACUUGGGCUUCUUGAUCCGCUUCGUCCGCAACUCCACAGCUUAUCUUGGCAAAACCGACGACGUGGUGGCCAUUGACAUCACAUACUAUCGUUCCAAGGAUCCAAAACAGCCGCGACUAUAUGAGGAUGUGUUCGAGGAGAUCGAACAGAUGGCCUUGUUCAAGUACAACGGGCUGCCGCACUGGGGGAAGAACAGAAAUGUCGGCUUCCUCAAUGUCAAGAACAAGUUGGGGGCUAAGUUGGCCAAGUUUGUGAGUGUGAUGCAGAAGUAUGACAGCAAUGGAUUGUUCUCUUCAGACUGGACCGAUGCGGUGCUGGGACUGCGAGGGAAGGAAGUUGUGGUGCAGGGAGAUGGUUGUGCAAUGGAGGGGCUGUGCAUUUGCUCCACCGAUGACCACUGCGCUCCUAAACUAGGCUAUUAUUGUCGACCUGGGGAAGUCUAUGAGCAGGCUCGAGUUUGCCGGAAGAUAAAAUCCGUGGAAGCUGAUGGUUUGGCAUGGAGCGCAUGAUACCAUUCACAUUCAUUUGCUGUGAGGUUUAUUUCUGUGUCACUUCCUCUUCGAAUAAAGGAUGAAAUGUCAGUCAAUAAUUACUACAUAGUUUAUUAUUGUGAUAUUAAAGCAAGCGUCGAUAAAUGCAAUAUUGUAUGGGACGCAGAUUACAUUCCUCCCGAUUUAUCUGUACAACUCCAAGAUGACUUAUACAAGUCAUUCUAUAGAACUAUAAUGUCUUAAUAAAUUUUUUUUGGGAAAAAAAUUAGGACAUAAUUUCUCAUUAUUUUUCAUAGCAAGAUCCCAUUUUGAAGGAAACGAACGCUCUCCAGUAUCCUUUGCAUGAAAGGAACGAGGAAGCAAGAAAUAAUUGUGCCAUUCUUAACGCCAUCGUGUGGAGAGAGAUAGUAUGUUAACGCGAUAUUCUUCGCUAUCAUUUCUUAAAAUAAUAAUGAUGAUUAAUGAUAAUAACCUGCGACUCACGUAAAUGUUCUGAUUAAUUUUACAUUAAUUACGCUUGACCCACGUUUCGUGACACAAAUGAAAUGGUAGUUCACACCGAUUACAUUUCAAAUUUUUGACUCAAAGCUCGUCCUAUGGAUCGCGAGAAUAAACCAUAUGGUAAGAAGCUACAUAAAUAUGGAAAUCACAAAGGAGGGUGAUUACUGUAAUUAACCCUUCCUCGAUGCCCCCAACUCCAAGAAACUACUGCUCUCUCUAGGUAACUCUACGGCGCAGCAUCCAAUCUUAUGUUUUUUCCUUUCUCAUCCUCGCAGUAUAAUUUAGAGAUAGCAAGUGGUCGCACCAUGAUCGAGGGAAACAGCAGCGAGAGCAAGCUGAGCCAGUACAUCAGGCCCCCGACCGGGAGCUGCGGCAUGCCCCGGACUUGUACGAUAGCAGCAUGGCCGGGAUCGCCGGCAAGGCGCAGUGUGGCACCGUCAUCGCGCUGUCUUCGCGCCUAUGGCUUUGGGCUGUGCUCGCGGACGAGCAGCAGCGAGGAAGAGAUCAACGACCUCAUCGGCGCCGUUUGCAAGAGCAAGAUGCGGGCCAUCCCGGUGGAGGAUGGGACGCCGGUGCCGAGGAGCCACAGUGUGGCGACGUUGAGGAUAGACGAAGACAAGCCGUGUGACUUCGAGGACGACCUCACGGUGGCCCUGGGGCCAAGGAGCUGUGGCUACGAUGUUGCCACCGAGAGGAAGGUGGGCUUCUAAUAAGCUUCAAGUUAGCUUGUGCGGUGAUCUAACACGAACAGUAAACAUCCGAGCUUAUAUAUUGUACUGCUUUCGAGGGAGGAAAUAAGCAAUUCGUUGAGCCGUUGUCAUUCUUUGGGAACCAAAACUUAUUAGGAGAUAAAUCGAAUAGUAGAUAUUCGUCGCUUCUUUUAUGAAGCCUUGUUGUAUUUUACCUACUCACCACGUCUUGUGAUAAUCUCAUGUAAUAUCUACACAAAAUAACUAAGUUUUAGAUCGGGCAUGACAUCCUCAAGGAAUGAUUUUUUAAUAGACUACAGUGUUUAUUUAUGUGAGGAUUUGGCAUGCUUUUUUCAUCUUAAAAAAGGAAAUGUUAAAUUUCUAAGAAAAACCUCCUAACUUUAAGAAUUUAUCAAAUAACCCUCCAAUCUUGAGAAAUUUUUAUAGAGUAUUUCUUUUUCUUAAAUGAUCAUUCUACCCAUAUUGAUUGUCGCCUUUACCCUUGCAUUGUUAUUGCUGUGCUUGCCGGUGGCCUUCGCACAAGGAAGGAAGGGGUGCAAGAGUUGUCAUCUCCUUCCUGCACCACCUCCCCUCCCUUCUGCAUGCUGGACUUAUUGCUUACAGGCCUCACGCGAGGAAGGAGAAGGUACGAGGGCUAUUAUCACCUUUGCAGACCUCACUAACCCUACACUAACGCCUUGCUCACAACCCUCGCAUGAGAAAGGAGAGGACGUGAGGGCUGGGAUAGUAAUUCAAAUCCAAUCAAGGUCUAUUCCAAAUCAGUCACUAUUUGUAAUGCACUAAAUUUGUAAAACUAGGUUGAGGGGCAUUCUUGACAAAUAUUCCUUCAACGGCGAAUUGAAUUUUUAGGUUUGGACUAGUCGAUGAAGUGAAGUCAUAUCUUAGGAGUACAUGGGAGCCCUUUUUAUGAGUGAUACUAAGGAUGAUUAUUCCUAGAAUCACCGAUCGCAUAGGCCAGCCAUGUCAACCACGGGUUCAGAUGAUUGAUUAUCUGGUCAUGUAUCACCCCUUUAUGAGUAUAUGUCUUACGACCUGAUCAUCAUUUGUCUAUCGCGUGUGAUCCUCAUGCUCUUUGGCAAUCGAUCAGUUGGCUCAUUGGUCAUCGGCAAUGUUGUAUUUGACAUGUCACUUGUCACCUAUCACUUGCCCCCAACUUCUAGGUUGAUAGAUUGUAGGGCUAUCGAGUUAAGAAGUGCUCUAGCUUAUGCUUUUAACACUGAUAGUGGAUUUGUUCGUCAUCUUUUUGACAUAUGUCAUAGAAAUGCAUGUUCUGUCCGUUAAAGCUAUUCUAUCCAUUUAGUAUGUUUAACGCAUUCGGUUCAUUUAACCCGUUCUAUUCAUUAGUUGCUCUCCCUCUAACAUACAUUCCUUAAUAUAUCUUGGUUGCUCUCCCUCUAACAUAUCAGUAUAAAUUUUAGUUGUUUGAGUUGAGAUGAUAACUUAGAUCUAUCUGACGUUCAUUCCAAGUUAGUCUAACUCUAGAAAACCUACAAAUGCCCUAUCGUCGAUCAAGUCAGACUUGUCAGCCAAUACUAAAGUCAAGUCGGGUCCUGGAAGUGUACAUAAGAGUCUCUUUUAUUAGUAACUCUAAGAAUGGUUAUGUCUGGAAUCAUUGAUGGUAAGAGGGGAAUAUGUGCCACAUUCAAGCUGAGACUUGGCAUUCGUACAAGUAAAUGGUUGAUGUGAUCCGGGAGAGAGCAAGGCAUGUAAAUGAUUCAUAACAAGGGAACGUCUCUUACAAGUUCUCCAUUGACAGGUUCUUCCGACUUAGAAUUGGUCUAAUGUUUUCCGGCUUCUCCGUACCUCAGGAAAUGUUGGGUCUAGCCCAUACGUCAGCUUGGACUAGAUAAUUAAAUUUUUGAGCUCAAAUCAAUAAUUAAAAAAAAAAACUGCCUAUAGCGUUUUGACAAGCGAACGAUGGCGACGCACAGUCAAAUUAACAUAGAAAGAGAAAAGAGAAAAAAAAUAAGAUUUUGAGUUUUUCUUAGUUAACGAUCAGAGUCAAACUUGGAUCCAAAUUAUACAUGAAAAAUCUUUACAGUAGCCAGCUCUACAAUCCGCUGAUUUGUAGUUUACCCUUUAUGAGGUAUUUUCCAACUAUACUCAUUUUGUGAGACAAAAUUCUUUUUUUGAUGAGAUUCAUUCAUGUGAUGAUGAUAUACUAUUCUUGAGUCAAGAUAUGUGAUUUUGAUGUUAUUAUGGUUCUCUUGUUAUUUUAAAGAAGACUUAUUGUAAACCUAUAAUUAUUAUUAGUGAUAGUGGAAGCUUGAAGUGGACUACGAUCCCUAUUAUUAUUAUUAGUGAUAGUGGAAGCUUGAGGAGGACUACGGUACGUGGUUUUUUCCGCAUUAGGUUUUUCACGUUAAUAUUUGGUCUUACUUUGUGAUUGAUUCAUUGUUUUGUUAUUUAUGUUGUUCUGGUUUAUAUGUACUUUUGAUAUCAAGCUGGUUUUUGAUGAGAAACUUAUUUUAAUAGACAAAAAGAAAAAAAAUUAUUUUAUUUUAAUAGGUUUUUCCCAACAAGAAAUUGAGUGAAGAACUCUAUUUAACCGACUUCAAGUCGGCACGACCCUCUUCGCAUCCAAUGUUAGUGUAGCGCUAUGACCUAGGAAGAAGAAGAGGGAACAAGCUGAUGCGGUACAUCAAGGCCUCUCAUCGAGCACUGCUACGUGCCCGGGACUUGUACGUGAACAGCAUGGCUGGAUGCGCCAGAAGGGCCCAGGGCGAGCCGACGAUCAUCGCGAUGCCGCACGCCCAGAGCCACAUAUAUACACACACAAACGCGCACACACAAUAAAAGUAAUAUAAUUAUUGAUGCCCAUGCAAAAAGAUUUUAUAUCAUUUUUAUUUAAUUCGCUCACGUGGAUCAAUCGAGUUGUCCAUGUGUUAUUAUCCAUUAACUUGCUUUUAUCUAUUAUAUAAUAACGAUUGGAUCAUGAGCUGGCUUUCUCAUCUGCGUGCCAAUCCAAACGCUUCUAUACUGUGCCAUCGACGACUUCAAUAUCUUUGAUUUGCUCACAUCUCAAAGCCAAAAAAAAGGAAAAAUGAUGAGUACCUACAGUAUAUGACAAUUAGUUAGACCGAUUCUUCUAAAUUUUCUGAUCCCAUCGUGAGGCGUGCAUGACCAGCGUACUUUCCCCACUGUAUUUUACUCGACCAUCACUAACCUCACCGCUAUUAUAGAAAUAGUAUGUCAACACGAUCUUGGCUGUCAUCANNNNNNNNNNNNNNNNNNNNUUUUCUUACAAUAAUAAUAAUGAUAAGAACCUUGCGUCCCAAGUUGGCUCACGUGAUUGAAAUAAAUGACUCGAAUUGGGAACAAUACCCAUAUGCAGAUUCAUUGGGAUGGCAGAAUCUCUUGUUAAGUCAACGGGCUUUACCUCCCUUAUUUUAUAUGAAUUUUUUUCUGACACCUAAUAAUUUUGUAAACAGUGAUCAAGAUAUCGAAUUCACAUUCUCCUAUAUACACAUUACAUACCCAUAUGCAGACCAACUCUGGACAGUCAUCAUGGCCGCCACCUACUUUGCCCUAUUCGCCUCCGGCCUCGCCGUCUUGCUUCUACUAGUCCAAGGAUCGCCGCCAGGGCCCGUUGUCCAGUGCCGGUCCGGCAACACUAACUGCACCGUGACCAACGGCUAUGGAGCCUUUCCUGAUCGCAGCACCUGCUGCGUCGCCGCGGUCGCGUACCCUUCCACCGAACUGGAGCUCCUGUUAGCUGUCUCCGACGCCACCGAGAAGCAGCAGCACAUGAAGGCUGUCACGAUGUACUCCCACAGCAUCCCCAAGCUGUCGUGCCCCGGAGGGCCGAGCGGCCAGGGCCUGGUCAUUAGCACCCAGCGCCUCAACCGAUCGGUGAGCGUGGACAUGGCCACCUCGCGGAUGACGUUCGAAGCAGGGAUCACACUUAGGGAGCUCCUUGACGCGGCGGCCGCCCGUGGCCUGGCGCUACCCCACUCGCCGUACUGGCAAGGGAUGACGCUCGGCGGCCUGCUGAGCACCGGCUCCCAUGGGAGCUCGGUGUUCGGGAAGGGCUCGGCGGUGCACGAAUAUGUGGUAGGGAUGAGGCUGGUGGUUCCAAGUCCGGCCCCGGUGAACGGAUACUACGCCAAGAUCGUUAAUCUUGGUGAGGAUGAUCCUGAUCUCUUGGCUGCCAAGGUUUCUCUCGGUGUUCUUGGAGUCAUUUCUCAGGUAUGUGUGUGGUGACCUACGUGUUAUUCUUUGUUCUUUACACGGAUUGAGAUCCAUGUGAUAACUCAUCUUAGUUCUUCAUGGUGGUUCUUCCAACCACGUCAAGUACUUUCAUAAGCUGAGUGUACAAGAUUUGCCACGUUUCGAUGCUAAUUAGGUGCAACUAUAUCUUUAAUUCUUCAUGAUAUAAUAGAGAUCAUCCUACUGUUAUUAGCAACGCUGAAUACAUCCUAUCGUCAGUAAAAUGUCGAGACAGAAAAAAAAAACUUGAUUUCUAUCAAAUCACUUUACAAAGGAAGACUUGUUCUUUUCCUUGAAUCUAGAAAGUUACGUAAAUAAUAGGCUUUUGAUGAUCGCAGUGGACUUUACUUUUAAUCUUUCCUUCUUUUCUUGCUUUGCUUGUCUUCCUUGUUUCAAAAUGGGCUGAUGCAAACCUUUGAACCGUUCUAAUGAUUCCAUGUACCUUCCCUCGUCGUUUAUCGUAACUACACAACAUACUUGAGUGUUAUGGAACAUAUGAGCACAUGCAAACCCACAGAGACAAAGAUCAGAGAAAAAGCAACCAUUGCAAUAACAGCUACAGUGACGUUGAUGAUGACUCGGUGUAAAUGAGAGUGCCCCUUCCUUCACAUAUGGAGCCUCGAGCAGGGCAAGAGGCAGGCAGGUCCAUGCUGCCUUGCCUUGCAGAGCUUACGACCGGGCCCACUAAUUGCCUUAAAAGCCUCAGUAACAAUUAUUAGGUUGAAGGACGAUAGGGGAUGUCAGUAGUUGUAGUUCUUGUUUCAAUCUUUUUGCCUGAAUAGCUGAAAAGAGUUGACUAGCGAUACAUGUAAGCUUUUGUUCUUCUGCUUCAUUAUAAGUAACCUAAGAAUUACUUGAACCGAUCGAGCAGGUCACCCUCCAACUUGAGCCAAUGUUCAAGCGAUCCAUCACCAACAGGGUCGUAAGCGACGUUGGCUUCGAGCAAACCAUCUCCUCGUACGCUGUCACUACAUACUAUGGAGACAUCAGCUGGUAUCCGUCACAACGCAGAGUGGUGUACCGAGAUGAUAUCAAGGUCCCCAUCACCACCGAAGGAAAGGGUGUAAACGACUACUUAGGGUUCCGAGCGCAGCCCACCCACGUCGGAGCCUCUCUACGUGCUUCAGGUCUUAUAAAUUGCAGCUUUUAUUUUGCUUGUCAAACUUAAUGUAGUGUUCGAGCAGUAUUAUGCACACAUUUACAUCGACAUUUCGUCCGAGAUUUGUACUAAGAAGGCUUCUUUUGUCCUCUACCAUGUGUUUGUGUCUGUGAAUGCAGAGGAACGAGUGGAGGCAACGGGAAAUGCGGAAGGCAAAUGUGUGCUGUUCAGAUUGCAAGUUGAUACUUUGAUUGCGACCGGCAUGGGCCUUAAGAACAAUGACGGCGGCUUGUUAGAAUUCACCGGCUAUCCGGUCGUUGGAAACCAAAGCGACAUGCAAUCCUCCGGUAGGUCCUCCAAUUAUCCGAAGAAUGUAUAUGAUGACACAUGUUACACCUGUAUUAUAUAUUAUAUGGUCUGAGCCAAAUUCACUCCUGUAUUCUGUAUUAGUCUGAACCAUCUUCUCUCCAGGUUCGUGCCUAAGAAGUGCAGAAGACAACCUUCUCACGGCCUGUGGAUGGGACCCUCGCUUUGCUGGGUCCUUCUACCACGAAACCGCGAUAAGUAUCCCCUUCACCACCGUUGCAGACUUCAUCGCCGACGUCAAGAAGCUCCGCGACGCCCACCCCAACUCGCUCUGCGGCACCGAGCUGUCCUUGGGCUUCUUCAUUCGCUUCCUCCGCAACUCCACGGCCUAUCUUGGCAAAACGGACGACGUGGUGGAGAUCGACAUCACAUACUACCGUUCCAGGGAUCCAAAACGGCCGCGACUCUAUGAGGAUGUGCUCGAGGAGAUCGAACAGAUGGCCUUGUUCAAGUACAAUGGGCUGCCGCACUGGGGGAAGAACAGAAAUGUCGGCUUCCUCAAUGUCAAGAACAAGCUGGGGGCUAAGUUGGCCAAGUUUGUGAGUGUGAUGCAGAAGUAUGACAGCAAUGGAUUGUUCUCUUCAGACUGGACCGAUGCGGUGCUGGGACUGCGAGGGAAGGAAGUUGUGGUGCAGGGAGAUGGAUGUGCACUGGAGGGGCUGUGCAUUUGCUCCACUGACGACCACUGCGCUCCUAAACUAGGCUAUUUUUGUCGACCUGGAGAAGUCUAUGAACAGGCUCGAGUUUGCCGGAAGAUAAAAUCCGUGGAAGCUGAUGGUUUGGCAUGGAGCGCAUGAUACCAUUCACAUUCAUUUGCUGUGCGGUUUAUUUCUGUGUCACUUCCUCUUCGAAUAAAGGUUGUAAUGUCAGUCAAUAAUUACUACAUAGUUUAAUGAUGAUUAAUGAUAAUAACCUGCGACACACGUAAAUGUUCUGAUUAAUUUUACAUAAAUUACACUUGACCCACGUUUCGUGACACAAAUGACAUGGUAGUUCACACCGAAACUACUGCUCUCUAUAAAUUACUCAACGGCGCAGCAUCCAAUCUUCUGUUUGUUCCUUUCUCAUCCUCGCAGUAUAAUUUGGAGAUAGGAAGUGGUCGCACCAUGAGCGAGGGAAACAGCAGCGAGAGCAAGCUGACCCCGUACAUCAGGCCCCCGACCGGGCCGCUGUGGCAUGCCCGGGACUUGUACGAGAGCAGCAAGGCGCAGAGUGGCACCGUCAUCGCGCUGUCUCGCGCCUAUGGCUUUGGGCAGUGCUCGCGGACGAGCAGCAGCGAGGAAGAGAUCAACGACCUCAUCGGCGCCGCUUGCAAGAGCAUGAUGCGGGCCAUCCUGGUGAAGGAGGAUGGGCUGGUGCCAAGGAGCCACCGAGUGGCGACGUUGAGGAUAGACGAUGACAAGCCGUGUGACUUCGAGGACGACCAAGAGGAACGAUGCCAAGGAGCUGUAGCUACGAUGUUGCCACCAAGAGGAACGUGGGCUUCUAAUAAGCUUCAAGUUAGAUUGUGCGGUGAUCAACACGAACAGUAAACAUCCGAGCUUAUAUAUUGUACUGCUUUCGAGGGAGGAAAUAAGCAUUUCGUUGAGCCGUUGUCAUUCUUUUGGAACCAAAACUUAUUAGGAGAGAAAUCGAAUAGUGAAUACAGAAGAAGAUAUUCUUCACUUCUUUUGUGAAGCUUUGUUGUAUUUUACCUACUCACCAUGUAUUUUACACAAAAUAACUAGUUUUAGAUCGGGCAUGACAUCCUGAAGGAAUGAUUGUUUAAUAGACUACAAUGUUUAUUUAUGCGAGGAUUUGGCAUGCUUUUCUCAUCUUAAAAAAAGGAAAUGUUAAAUUUCUAAAAAAAGACCUCCUAACUUUAAAUUAUCAAAUAACGCUCUGAGAAAUUUUUUUAGAGUAUUUUUUUCUUAAACAAUCAUUCUAUCCAUUGUCAACUCUAUCCAUGCAUUGUUAUUAUUGUAUUUACAUGUGGCCCUCGCAUAAGGAAGGAAGGGGUGCAAGAGUUGUCACCUCCUUCCUGCACCACCUCUCCUCCUCUUGUCAUGCUGGAUUUGUUACUUAUAGGCCUCACUCGAGGAAAGAGAGGGUACGAGAGCCAUUGCCACUUAUGCGGACCCCACCAACUCUAUCCUAGCGCCUCGAUCACAACUUUCAUAUGAGAAAGGAGGGGACGUGAGGGCCGUCAUCGUUUCUGUGGACCUUACUAGCCCUAGGACCUUGCUAGACUCUAUUGGACUUGUUGCCCGUAGCCCUUACACAAGGAAAGAAGGGUUGUGAGGGUCGACGCCACCACCAUCUUCACAGACCACUACGACCCUGCUUAUAUGCACUUCACUCGUAACCCUUGUGCAAGGAAGAAGGUGGCACAUGUGCUAUCGUUGCCUUUGUGGAACCUAUUAGUCUCCGUCAAACCUGUUGUCACUCUGCACCACCCCCCCUUUCCUCGCACGAGGGCCAUAGUGUGCAAGGGUUGUGAGUGACAGAUUAUAUGAAGUAGAGGAGAGGAUAGGUAGUGCAUGGAGUAAGGGCACAAGUGAUUAUAGAGGGAGGAGGAGAUAACUAUAGGUCUAAUAGAAAUAGAGAUAAAAUAAUAUUUUUAUAUAAUCAAGAUACUCUAUGAAUUUCUUAAAGUUAAAAGGCUCUGUAAAAAAUUCAUAAUGUUAAAUCUAAAAAAAAAAUAAGGAUUUGACGUGCGUCCGACAAGCCUCCUUCCUGGAGAGGAUCAACACACAGCUAGUUAGUAGGGGAUUCAGUAACUUUCCUUUUUUUUUCCCUUUAAAAAUAUGAAGUUUCAUAACUUAUCAAAAAGAGGUCCAAAUUGUACAUUUAUACCAAUAAAUUUGAAUACUACAAGUUUUUCUCUUGCAACUAAUACACACACAUAUACUACAGUUUUGCCCCAUACAAAUCGAAUAACAAUGAGUAUAGUUUUGACCCUUCCAUGUAUAGAAAUUAAAUAAAAAUUAGUUUGAUUCAAUUCAAAGAGUUAAGUUUCUAUAUUGUGGACCAAAUUAAGUAUAUAUAAUCAGACUCUUUUAAUUCUUAAUUAUACUAGAUUAUCCUCUUAGUUUAUUUUAUUUCAAUUUAGACAUGAAUAUUUUCAUUACAAUGUGAAUAAUAAAAAUAUCUUAAAAGUGAAGUCAUAUUUGGUUCUUUAUUAGACCUUACUUUUCAACUUUUGUAACGAUCCAACCAAUGACCUCAUUAUUGGCCAUGAAUGAAAUCUUGAAUUCUAAUUUUUAAGUAAAAUGUAACUUAUGAUAUUUUAGAUUAAUACAAGUUAACAAUUAUUAACUAUCAUUAGUUAUGAUUGAUUAAAAAUUGAAAUGUAGUAAUAGAAUAUGAUAUUACAAAAUGUUCACAUCAUAUUUCUUUCUUAAAAAAUAAUCUUGUUUAUACCAAACUCGAAUUCAAAAUCUCAUCUGAUAUAUUUUGAAGAUAUCAUCUAAUUUAGUUGGUGUUAGUGUAGAUUUUGAUUAUAUGAGCUAGGAUAAUUCUUCAAAUUGAAUCAAAGUCUAUUCCAAACCAAUCUCACUUCACAUCACUAUUAAUAAAGCACCAAACUUGUAAAACUAGGUCAAGAGGUAUUCUUGACAAAUAUUCCUUCAAUAAUCAAUUGAAUUCUUAGGUUUGGACUGGCUGAUGAAUAUUGAAGUGAAAUCAUAUCUUAAGAGUACAUGAGAGUCCUUUUUAUGGGUGAUACUAAGGAUGAUUAUUCCUAGAAUCACCGAUCACUUAGGCUAGUCGAUCACGAGUUCAAAUUAUCUAUCAUUUGGCCACAUAUCACCCCUUUAUGAGUAUAUAUCUUACUACCUGACCAUCAUCUGUCAAACGCGUGUGAUCCCCAUGCUCUUUGAUAAUCGACCCAUUGGCUUCUUGGCCACGUGUCGCAUUGUGGCAAUGUUGUAUUUGACAUGUCACUUGUCACCUAUCACUAGCCCCCCAUUUCUAAGUUGAUAGAUUAUAGGGCUAUAGAGCUAAGAAGUGCUCUGGCCUAUGAUUUUUACACUGAUAGCGAGUUUGUUCAUCAUCGUUUUGACAUAUGUCAUUGGAAUGCAUGUUGUGUCCAUUAAAGCUAUUCUAUCCAUUCAGUGUGUUUGACGCAUUCAGUCCAUUUGACCCAUUCCGUUGGUUAGGGUCGUUCAGCUCGUUCAAUCAAUUUGACAUGUUAGGCUUUUUAGGAUUUAACCUAGAUGGUACCACGAAGUUUUCUUAAGAUAUCUUAGUUGCCCUCUCUCUAACGCUAAUAUAUUAGUAUAAAUUUUAAUUGUCUGAAUUGAGAUGAUAACUUAGAUCCAACUGAGAUUCAUUGCAAGUUAGUCUUACUCUAGGAAACCUACAAAUGCCCCAUCGUAGAUCAAGUCAGACUUGUUGGCCAAUAAUAAAGUCAAGUUGGAUCCUCGAAGUGUACCUAGAGUCCCUUUUAUUAGUAACUCUGAGAAUGAUUAUGUCCGGAAUCAUUGAUGGUAAGAGAGGAAUAUGUGCCACAUUCAGACUGAGACUUGGCAUGAUAUUCAUCGAACCUUGUGUUCACAUAGGUUGGUUGUGCUAAUCAUGGGUUUGGACGAUCGACUAUUCAUCCACGUAUUAUCUCAUGCUGAGUGUGCAUCUCAUGAUUCCAUCAUCACCUAUCUAUCACAUAUGAUCCUCAUGCUCUUUGGUUGUCAACCUUGUGGCCAUGUGUCACUACACGGUGAUGUUAUAUUCGAUAUAUUACUCUUUAUGCUGAAAAAAAAUUUGAUAGUUGAUCACUAGACUCAAAAUUCUACAUUCGUUAGUGGUGCGUUGGCCAUGUCUCGCCGCAUGAUAGUGUUAUAUUCAAUGUCACACCCUUCACCUGUCAGAUAAAGACUUUAAUAGUUCCUCCCAAAAUUUUAGACUUAAAUUCCACAUUAAUCACUUAUUCUCAAAAAAAAAAUCUGGUUAAGAUCGCAACCACUGCUUCGGUUACAAUUAUCCCUUCUAUUUUUAUAACAGAACAAAUAGGGUAAACAGUGUGCGAGUCGAUCAGUCGGUGGACUGCCUUCAUUCCACCGACUUACACCAUCAUGAGAUCCUCUUAAUUUUCAAAUUAUAAUAAUUAUAAUUUAAAAAAUAUGAAUAACAUUAAAUAAAAAUAAACAAAAAAAUCAGCCAUAACGCGUAAAGGUCAAAGUCAAAGUACCCAUGACCCAUGGACUGGGACACGUGGAGGCAAGAAAGCAUCACAACAGACUCGAGAACGAGCCCACUCGAUUGGACCAUUCAGGGCGGGAUUAAUUGAAAGAAACAACGAGCGAGACAGUCAGCAGGUCCACUAAACUGGAAGCAUUCUUCAUGCUUUGAAAUCAAAACAUGAGUCUAACAUGAUCAACCAAAUUGGACUCAACACUUGUGAUCGAGAAGAAUAGGGUGCCGCCAUGUUCGUACAAGUAAAUGGUUGAUGUGAUCCGGGAGAGAGCAAGGCAUAUAAAUGCUUCAUAACAAGGGAACGUCUCUUACAAGUUCUCCAUUGACAGGUUCUCUUCCUGCUUAGAAUUGGUCCAAUGUUUUCCGGCUUCCACAUACCUCAGGAAAUUGAGUAAAGAACUCUAUUUAAGCGACUUCAAGUCGGCACGACUCUCUUCGCAUCCAAUGUUAAUGUAGCGCUAUGAGCAAGGGAAGCAGAAGAGGGAACAAGCUGAUGCGGUACAUCAAGGCCCCUUAUCGAGCACUGCUUCGUGCCCGGGACUUGUACGUGAACAGCAUGGCCGGAUGCGCCGGCAGGGCCCAGCGCGGGCCGACGAUCAUCGCGAUGCCACGCGCCCAGAGCCGCAGCUUCCACCGCCCGCAAAUGAGCAGCGGCGAGGACGACAUCAACGAGCUCAUCCGCGCUGCGUCGAGGAGCAGGCUGCGGUCCGUCGAGGGAGCGGCGGUUCCGAGGAGUCACAGCGUGGCGGGGAUGACGAUUGACGAGGACAAGCCAUGCAACUUUGAGGGCGACGUCAAGGUGGCCUUGGGCCCGAGGAGCCGGAGCUGCGACGUCGUCUCCAAGAGGAGGGCGGGGUUUACAACAAACGCCGUAAGCAGCAUCCGAAGCUUCUAAUACCAAGAGUGGAAGCACCAAAUGCAGCAAUUCCAUGUCGUUGUGGUUUCUAUUACUCGUGUUCGUGAACUCGAUUCGAUACUUUCUCUCCUCUUCUUCUCCUGUCAUGUUUCUGUUCACUCGUGAAUGUUUGGGCUGCCUGCUUACCUCAUUCCAUCUACACGAACGGAAUGUUCAUAUGGCAUCUCGGUAUCAUUUCCCUCAAAAUUUGAGCCUACAUUUGAAGCAUUUUCAUUAUAUAUAUAUAUAUAUAUAUAUAUAUAUAUAUAUAUAUAUAUAUAUAUAUAUAUAUANNNNNNNNNNNNNNNNNNNNNNNNNNNNNNNNNNNNNNNNNNNNNNNNNNNNNNNNNNNNNNNNNNNNNNNNNNNNNNNNNNNNNNNNNNNNNNNNNNNNNNNNNNNNNNNNNNNNNNNNNNNNNNNNNNNNNNNNNNNNNNNNNNNNNNNNNNNNNNNNNNNNNNNNNNNNNNNNNNNNNNNNNNNNNNNNNNNNNNNNNNNNNNNNNNNNNNNNNNNNNNNNNNNNNNNNNNNNNNNNNNNNNNNNNNNNNNNNNNNNNNNNNNNNNNNNNNNNNNNNNNNNNNNNNNNNNNNNNNNNNNNNNNNNNNNNNNNNNNNNNNNNNNNNNNNNNNNNNNNNNNNNNNNNNNNNNNNNNNNNNNNNNNNNNNNNNNNNNNNNNNNNNNNNNNNNNNNNNNNNNNNNNNNNNNNNNNNNNNNNNNNNNNNNNNNNNNNNNNNNNNNNNNNNNNNNNNNNNNNNNNNNNNNNNNNNNNNNNNNNNNNNNNNNNNNNNNNNNNNNNNNNNNNNNNNNNNNNNNNNNNNNNNNNNNNNNNNNNNNNNNNNNNNNNNNNNNNNNNNNNNNNNNNNNNNNNNNNNNNNNUUUCCUUACAAUAAUAAUAAUGAUAAGAACCUUGCGUCCCAAGUAGGCUCACGUGAUUGACAUAAAUGACUCAAAUUGGGAACGGAUGAAAACUCCUCCUAUUGCAUGUUCAUGAAUCAGAUAUGGAUGAUAUGGCACCACUUUUCCAUUGCCGUCCCACGCACAUCAUCCACGGUUUCCACAGAGACUGGUAGAAGUAAAAUUGCCAACUCAUCUACCUCCCUCUAUCAAUAUAUAUUAUCUAAUCACGUUCUUGCAUCACGUGUUCUGCGACCAUCAACCGGAGACUUUGACAAUUAUGAACCAUUCCAACACGUCUAAAUACACGUAAGAUUCAUCGGGAUGGCAUAAUCUCUUGUUAAGUCAACGGGCUUUACCUCCCUUCUUUUAUAUGAAUUUUUUUCUGACUACUAAUUAUUAUGUAAAUAGUGAUCAAGAUAUCGAAUGCACCUAUAUAUACAUUACAUACCCAUACCCAGACCAACUCUGAACAGCCAUCAUGGCCGCCACCCACAUUGCCCUGUUCGCAUCCGGCCUCGCCGUCUUGCUUCUCCUAGUCCAAGGAUCGCCGCCAGGGCCCGUUGUCCGGUGCCGGUCCGGCAACACUAACUGCACCGUGACCAACGGCUAUGGAGCCUUUCCUGAUCGCAGCACCUGCCGCGUCGCCGCGGUCGCGUACCCUUCGACCGAACAGGAGCUCCUGUUAGCUGUCUCCGACGCCACCGAGAAGCAGCAGCACAUGAAGGCUGUCACGAUGUACUCCCACAGCAUCCCCAAGCUGUCGUGCCCCGGCGGGCCGAGCGGCCAGGGCCUGGUCAUUAGCACCCAGCUCCUCAACAGAUCGGUGAGCGUGGACAUGGCCACCUCGCGGAUGACGUUCGAGGCAGGGAUCACACUUAGGGCGCUCCUUGACGCGGCGGCCGCCCGUGGCCUGGCGCUACCCCACUCGCCGUACUGGCAAGGGAUCACGCUCGGCGGGCUGCUGAGCACCGGUUCGCAUGGGAGCUCGGUGUUCGGGAAGGGCUCGGCGGUGCACGAAUAUGUGGUAGGGAUGAGGCUGGUGGUUCCAAGUCCGGUACCGGUGAACGGGUACUACGCCAAGAUCGUUAAUCUUGGUGAGGAUAAUCCUGAUCUCUUGGCUGCCAAGGUUUCUCUCGGUGUUCUUGGAGUCAUUUCUCAGGUAUGUGUGUGGUGACCUACGUGUUGUUCUUUGUUCUUUACACGGUUUGAGAUCCAUGUGAUAACUCAUCUUAGUUCUUCAUGGUGGUUCUUCCAACCACGUCAAGUGCUUUCAUAAGCUGAGUACAUGACUCGCCACGUCUCGAUGCUAAUUAGGUGCAACUAUAUCUUUAAUUCUUCAUGAUAUAAUAGAGAUCAUCCUACUGUUAUUAGCAACGCUGAAUACAUCCUAUCGUCAGCAAAAUGUCGAGACAGAAAAAAAGAACUUGUUUUCUAUCAAAUCACUUUACAAAGGAAGACUUGUUCUUUUCCUCGAAUCUAGAAAGUUACGUAAAUAAUAGGCUGUUGAUGAUCCCAGUGGACUUUACUUUUAAUCUUUCCUUCUUUUCUUGCUUUGCUUGUCUUCCUUGUUUCAAAAAGGGCUGAUGCAAACCGUUGAACCGUUCUAAUGAUUCCAUGUACCUUCCCUCGUCGUUUAUCGUAACUACACAACAUAAUUGAGUGUUAUGGAACAUAUGAGCACAUGCAAACCCACAUAGACAAAGAUCAGAGAAAAAGCAAACUUUGCAAUAACAGCUACAGUGACGUUGAUGAUGACUCGGGGUAAAUGAGAGUGCCCCUUCCUUCACAUAUGGAGCCUCGCGCAAGGCAAGAGGCAGGCAGGUCCAUGCUGCCUUGCCUUGCAGAGCUUACGACCGGGCCCGCUAAUUGCCUUAAAAGCCUCAGUAACAAUUAUUAGGUUGAAGGACGAUAGGGGAUGUCAGUAGUAGUAGUUCUUGUUUCAGUCUUAUUGCCUGAAUAGCUGAAAAGAGUUGACUUGCAAUACAUGUAAGCUUUUGUUCUUCUGCUUCAUUAUAAGUAACCUAAGAAUUACUUGAACCGAUCGCGCAGGUCACCCUCCAACUUGAGCCAAUGUUCAAGCGAUCCAUCACCAACAGGGUCGUAAGCGACGUUGGCUUCGAGCAAACCAUCUCCUCGUACGCUGCCGCUACAUACUAUGGGGACAUCAGCUGGUAUCCGUCACAACGCAGAGUGGUGUACCGAGAUGAUAUCAAGGUCCCCAUCACCACCAAAGGAAAGGGUGUCAACGACUACUUAGGGUUCCGAGCUCAGCCCACCCUUGUCGUAGCCUCUCUACGUGCUUCAGGUCUUAUAAAUUGCAGUUUUUAUUUUGCUUGUCAAUCUUGAUGUAGUGUUCGAGAAGUAUUGUGAACACAUUUACAUCGACAUUUCGUCCGAGAUUUAUACUAAGAAGGCAUCUUUUGUCCUCUACCAUGUGUUUGUGUCAAUGACUGCAGAGGAACUAUUGGAAGCAACGGGAAAUGCGGAAGGCAAAUGUGUGCUGUUCAGAUUGCAAGUAGAUACUUUGAUUGCGAUCGGCAUGGGCUUUAAGAACAAUGACGGCGGCUUGUUAGAAUUCACUGGCUAUCCGGUCAUUGGAAACCAAAGCGACAUGCAAUCCGCUGGUAGGUUCUCAAAUUAUCCGAGGAAUGUCUGCAUGUAUGAAUGAUAACUCUUGACGAUAAUGCUUCAUCACAAUAAUGACACAUGUAAUGCCCGGAUUUAUUUAGUUUGAGUCAUCUUCUCUCCAGGUUCAUGCCUAAGGAGUGCAGAAGACAACCUUCUUACAGCCUGUGGCUGGGACCCUCGUUUUGCGGGGCUCUUCUACCACCAAACCACGAUAAGCAUCCCCUUCACCACCAUCGCUGGCUUCAUCGCCGACGUCAAGAAGCUCCGCGACGCCCAUCCCGACGCACUCUGCAGCACCGAGCUGUACUUGGGCUUCUUCAUGCGCUUCGUCCGCAACUCCACAGCUUAUCUUGGCAAAACCGACGACGUGGUGGACAUCGACAUCACAUACUAUCGUUCCAAGGAUCCAAAAAAGCCGCGACUCUACGAGGAUGUGCUCGAGGAGAUCGAACAGAUGGCCUUGUUCAAGUACAAUGCGCUGCCGCACUGGGGGAAGAAUAGAAAUGUCGGCUUCCUCAAUGUCAAGAACAAGCUGGGGGCUAAGUUGGACAAGUUUGUGAGUGUGAUGCAGAAGUAUGACAGCAAUGGAUUGUUCUCUUCAGACUGGACCGAUGCGGUACUGGGACUGCGAGGGAAGGAAGUUGUGGUGCAGGGUGAUGGUUGUGCACUGGAGGGGCUGUGCAUUUGCUCCACUGAUGACCACUGCGCUCCUAAACAAGGCUAUUAUUGUCGACCUGGAGAAGUCUACGAACAGGCUCGAGUGUGCAGGAAGAUUAAAUCCGUGGAAGCUGAUGGUUAGGUUUAUUUCUGUGUCGCUUCCUCUUCGAAUAAAGGAUGUAAUGUCAGUCAAUAAUUACUACAUAGUUUAUUAUUGUAAUAUUAAAGCAAGCGUCGAUAAAUGCAAUAUUGUAUGGGAGGCAGAUUGCAUUCCUCCUGAUUUAUCUGUGCAACUCCAAGAUGACUUAUGCAAGUCAUUCUAUAGAACUAUAAUGUGUUAAUAAAUUUCUUUUGGGCAAAAAAAUUAGGACAUAAUUUCUCAUUGUUUUUAAUUGCAAGAUCCCAUUGUGAAGGAAAGGAACACUCUCCAGUAUCCGUUGCAUGAAAGGGACGAGGAAGCAAGAAAUAACAGUGCCAUUAUUAAUGCCAUCGUGUGGAGAGACGUAGUAUGUUAACGCGAUAUUCUUCGCUAUCAUUCCUUAAAAUAAGAAUGAUGAUUAAUGAUAAUAACCUGCGACUCACGUAAACGUUCUGAUUAAUUUUACAUUAAUCACACUUGAACCACGUUUCGUGACACAAAUGACAUGGUAGUUCACACCGGUUGCAUUUCAAAUUUUUGACUCAAAGCUCGUCCUAUGGAUCGCGAGAAUAAACCAUAUGGUAAGAAGCUACGUAAAUAUGGAAAUCACAAAGAAUGGUGAUUACUGUAAUUAAGCCUUCCUCGAUCCCCCCCAACCCCAAGAAACUACUGCUCUCUCUAAAUAACUCUACGGCGCAGCAUCCAAUCUCCUUUUUGUUCCUUUCUCAUCCUCGUAAUAUAAUUUAGAGAUAGGAAGUGGUCGCGCCAUGAGCAAGGGAAACAGCAGCGAGAGCAAGCUGAGCCAGUGCAUCAAGGCCCCCGACCUGGCUCUGCGACAUACCCGGGACUUGUGCGAGAGCAGCAUGGCCGGGACUGAUAAUAUAUGUAUACACGAUAAUCUCAUGUAAGCUCGUUCAUCUACACCAAAUACUAGUUUUAGAUCGGGCAUGACAUCCUGAAGGAAUGAUUGUUUAAUUGACGACAGUGUUUAUUUACGUGUGGAUUUGACGUGCUUGUUUCCAUCUUUAAAAAGGAAAAUUCAAAUUCUUUUAAAAAAAAACUGUCAACUUAAUUUUUCAAAUAGCUCUUCAAAAAAUUCUCAUUGAGUAUUUUUUUUUUUCAAAAAGACUAUUCUAUAUCAAUCGGUCAUCGCCUCCGCCUCGUAUCACUUCUGAACACGUAUCAGAGUAUUUUUUUCAAAAAGUUUCUUCUAAGCGUGAGACAAUGUAUCACUUCUGAACACGUAUCAGAGUAAAUCCAGGCCAUUGCAGUUUGCAACUUCUUCUUUCUUUUCCUGAUCCAAUUCUUACAGUUGUUGGUGAUCAUCCGCAAUUUCUUCCCAGUAUAUGUUCCCCUUGUAGCUCAAGCAAUAUCCGAAGGUAACUUUAGCUAUAAAUUUCGUUUGGUUUGGAAGUUCAAGAAAAAAUAGUCACUCUUAUGUCCAAAGUUAUUGACAGAAAUGAGGUGGUCUCAUUAACUAUGCUUUGAUACUAUGGACUACGGUCAAGAAUUUGAAGCUGUCUGGCAACAUUUACAAGUGAGAAUGGAACGGAUAAAUGAAAUCAAAAGUACCCAUUUGGACUGCACAAGAAAAACCUUUAUGACUGACGUUUUGAACUGUUCAUAUGAGGUAGUCACUGUUAACUCACAUCCACGUUCAAGAAAAGGAUGUGCUACAGUCUCCUAGCGGUGGCAAUUCCAUGAUUGUCCACCGAGGAUGCUUAUUAUUCUUAUUCGCAAGCAGUUCGUCUGAGAAAUUAACUCAGAAGCCUCGUAUUGUGCUUCUGCUCAACCAAAGAAAGAGAUCAGAAGUGGAGAUAGAAGAUCCAUGGAGCAGGACGAUCCCAAUUACCUCUUCCAGGCCUAAAUUGUAGAGUAAGUUGAUCUCUGUCAUAACCAAGUCUUGGCAGCGAUCUCCAAAGAGUUCCAUGCAUCUCGGCCAUGUAGUCGGCAACGAAGCGACGUGAUGGCAUUGAAUUCAGUGUACUCUCUGUGCAGUCACCUUACUCGGCAUCCAUGCAACCGUUCUUCCUUUAUUUUCAAAGAUAAUGAUUACUGAUUUCUUCGAGGGGAAGUGCUUCUAAAUGUGCUCGUGCAAUUGAUUCUCUUCUCAAUCGAUCUUGAUGUGCCAUGCGAUCAAACUCACAUUACGGUGUUCGUGAACAGACGUUGAAGAUCAUGGAAGGAGUAUUUUGUUUGCUGUGAUUGUGUGGAGAGAAACACACGAGGCAAGGGAAGUCCCUGUGUAGUCGGAGAAGGCAACGGAUGGCUUGGCUUUUUCUUCCCUGUAAAGGUGGAAGACGAGAUGGCCAGAUGAUCUAAUAUUAUAUUGCAGUGUUGCGUCUGUCCGUGGUUGUAGGAGUGUCCUACAAAAACAAUAACAGCUUGUUACUAAGACAUGUUCUAUAAACAAUCAAAACAAUUAAAUAUUACACGCAUUAUAUUAAGACCAGCAGAAAAUGUCUUACGUGAUUAAGUAAUUUAGUAUCUGAUAUGGGACUGACAUAUAAAUCAAAUUCUUUUAAAGUAGAAGAAUCUGAAAUAUUUUUUCUUUGUUUUUCUCAAAUAACCUAUUCAAUCUUAUUUCAUAUGCGAACCCAUUAGUUCAUCAAAUAAAAAUAUAGAUAAAUCUUUUGACUCUUAUAACAAUAUGAUCAAAUUUCGGAGUUAAACUUUUCAAAACUUUUAUAACAAUUAUAUGAUAAGGAAGAUGUACACCAUAAAAUUUUAUUUAACUAACAAUAUCAAUCACUUGUGAAAGAAAAUCUUACAUCGAUUCAUUAUUUUUCAUGAAUAAAUUUUAAAUUCACCACGAAGGGUUUAAAGUUUUACUGUAAUCACCCUUGUUGAGCCUUGAAAUUCAUUUUGAAGUAUCAAUCAAACUUGCUUUAAGGUUAUUGCUAUUGUAAUUCUUGAGAAAAUUAUUUCAUGUAUAGCUUGUUGAAUGAACAACAAUGCCUUUGAGUUCUUAUUUCUAUUCUUCCUCAGCCUGAUUUUUUUAUGUAGACCUACAUAUCCAUUCUCUAUUAAGUCCCAAAGAUCUUGAGACUUGAAUAAAAUAUUUAUCUUGAUACUCUAAAAUUCAUAGCAUUUGUCCGAGAAGAUGGAAAUAAGGGGUUGAGACAUAAAAUUAUUAUUAAAAGUCAUAAUACCCAAUUCGGAUUGAAAACUUAGCUAUGAUACCAUAAAUGUUGAGGAUGAAGGAAUAAGGAAAUGAUAAAAACAGAAUACUAUGAUAUAAUUAAAAAAAAUAUUUUGAUCAAGAAAAUCGUUGUAGUAUUUAAAUAAGAUAUAAGAUAUGAACACUUACAAGAUAUUCUCAAGUGCACACUCUUUAUCUUAUUUCAUGAAUUAAGGUCUUAUUUAUAGGACAUAGUGGUAACUACCUCACUCCAUCAUGUCACCCGUGAUUGAAUUAGGUGUAGAAACUACCUUAUAAUUUUUAGAUCAUGGGUCAUUAUUUAAAAUAUGUCCACAACUAUUUAAAACAUGAUAACUAUCUAGAUAACUACUAUGAAUCAUUAAUUUUACGUUACUGUUUUCUUCGAGCGGAAGUGCUUCUAAAUGUGCUCGUGCAAUUGAUUAUCUUCUCAAUCGAUCUUGGUGUGCCAUUCGAUCAAACUCACGGUAUGGUGUUCGUGAACAAACGUUGAAGAUCAUGGAAGGAGUUUUUUUUUUGCUUGCUUGACGUAAUUGUGUGGAGAGAAACACACGAGGCAAGGGAAGUCCCUGUGUGGCCGGAGAAGGCAACGGAAGAUCAAGUGCAAGACAACCGAUGGCUUGGCUUUUUCUUCCCUGUAAAGGUGGAAGACGAGAUGGAUAGAUGAUCUAAUAUUAUAUUGCAUUGUUGAGGGUAUCCAAUCAUUGUACAUCUGUCCGUAGCCGUAGGAGUGUCCUAAAAAAGCAAUAACAGCUUGUUACUAAGACAUGUUUUAUAAACAAUCAAAACAAUUAAAUAUUACACGCAUUAUAUUAAGGCCGGCAGAAAAUGACUACUACUUUUCGAUACUCUCUUGUGUUGUGCUUACGUGAUUAUAGUAUGAUAUGAGACUGACAUAUGACCAACACUUCAGUAACGUACGACCUACACCUCAACCGGAGGAUCUCAUCCAAGCAAUGCAUAGUAGGCACUUUGACACUCAACGGUAGGAAUCUAAAGCUCUUCAACCCCUAAUGUAUGGAAUUUGAGGUGACUUCGUAAUUUUCUUUUACAAAUUUUAAUAAAUAUAUAUUUCUCUCUAAAUAUUAUUAUCAUUCAAAUAAAUCCUUCACAUUAACGUUCUUUAAAAAGAAACCAAGAUAACCACAAUAAUCAUGGUUUUCUUCAAUUGACCAUUUGACUUCAAACCAAUUUUUAACAUAAAAUAUUUUAUAUAUCUUACUAUCUUAAUAAGGCUUGUAAAAUGUAUCAAUGUCGCUCUAAUGGUGAAAUAACAGACAUGGAGAAUAAUUUUACAGUCUCCAUAUAUAAAUAAAAAAAUCACUCUAUGUAUAAGAACACACAAAGGUAUAAUUACACUAAAAACAAUACAAUUAUCGAUGCCCCUCGCAAAAAUAUUUUAUAUCGGUUGUAUUUAAUCGGCUCACGUCGAUCAAGGUUUGUGUUUUGUCGUUAAAUCAAUCAAGUUGUCCAUUUGAUAUCAUUCAUUUACGUGCAUUUGUCCAUCAAAUAAUAAUAGUUGGACCAUGAGUUGGCUAUCUUAUCUUCCUGCCCAUCAAAACCCUUCCAUGAUGUGGCAUCGAAUAAACUUACGAUUAAAACAUGAUGAAUCAACCCUUACAAUUUAUAACAAAUAAUUGGACCGAUUCUUCCAAAUUUUAUAGUCCCAUCGUGAGGGAUGCAUGACCAAACAACCUCGCCCACAGCAUUUGACGCAGCCAUCACUAACCUUAUCGCUUUUAAAUGCAUAGUAUGGUAAAAAUAAUGAUAAUAAACUCGCGUCACAAGUUGAUAUUUUUAUUGGUUUUAGUCAAUUUCCACUUGAAGCACGUGAAUGACGUAAAUGACAUUACAGUUCGCAUUGCGUACGCAUCUAACUCUUUUGACUGGAAGCUCCUCCAAUUGCAUGUCCAUGAAUCAGAUAUGGAUGAUAUGGUACCACUUUUCCAUUGUCUUCCCACGCACAUCAUCCACGGUUUCCACACAGACUAGUAGAAGUAAAAUUGCCAACUCAUCUACCUCCAUCUAUCAAUAUAUUAUAUAAUCUCGUUCUUGCAUCGCGUGUUCUGCGACCAUCAACCGGAGACAUUAACAAUUAUGAGCCAUUCCAACACGUCUAAGUACACGUCAGAUUCAUCGGGAUGGCAUAAUCUCUUGAUAAGUCAAUGGGCUUUACCUCCCUUAUUUUAUCUGAAUUUUUUUCUGACUGUGUAAACAAAUUCACCUAUAUAUACAGACAUGCCCGGAUCAACUCUGGACAACCAUCAUGGCCGCCACCCACAUUGCCCUGUUCGUUUCCGGCCUUGCCGUCUUGCUUCUCCUCGUCCAAGGAUCGCCGCCAGGGCCUGUUGUCCAGUGCCGGUCUGGCAACACUAACUGCACCGUGACCAACGGCUAUGGAGCCUUUCCUGAUCGCAGUACCUGCCGCGUCGCCGCGGUCGCGUACCCUUCGAACGAACAGGAGCUCCUGUUAGCUGUCUCCGACGCCACCGUGAAGCAGCAGCACGUGAAGGCGGUCACGGUGUACUCACACAGCAUCCCCAAGCUGUCGUGCCCCGGCGGGCCGAGCGGCCAGGGC